GACGUAGGGCGCGAGCGUUGUCCGGAUUUAUUGGGCGUAAAGAGCUCGUAGGCGGCUUGUCGCGUCGUCCGUGAAAAUCCACAGCUCAACUGCAGGCUUGCGGUCGAUACGGGCAGGCUAGAGUUCGGUAGGGGAGACUGGAAUUCCUGGUGUAGCGGUGAAAUGCGCAGAUAUCAGGAGGAACACCGGUGGCGAAGGUGGGUCUCUGGGCCGAUACUGACGCUGAGGAGCGAAAGCGUGGGAGCGAACAGG
rnacentral:rRNA from 1 species